ACUGUUUAUGUAUCAGUUUGGUUUGUACUUUUAUUUUGAAAUUUCUGCGUUGGCGCUGCCGCUUCCUUUGGAGGCUGGUUAUUAGUGUAUCUUAUUUUCAUUGGAUAAUUGACAAAGGCUCGGCCAUCUUGUGGUGUAUAUACGGGAAGUCCUUGAGCCCAGUCUGUAAAGCGCCAUGAUGGAGGCUCUUGGUUGAAACGACUGCAGACUGUUUAAACAAUCUGUUCUCUCGCCGUAAGAAGUAGGACUCGGCGUGGUUUGUUGAUGUGUCGUUGAAGACUUCAGAGGAUCCAGACGAGCUCAAUCUGGAACAAUAAGAGAGCCAUGGCAUUUCCUCUUUACUAAACAGACAGUGAAAAGAUUAAAGACAAUCCAGCCUCACCCUCAGGCUCUUGCUGGUGCCGUCCACCGAAGUUGGAGAGGAGUCCGAGAGCGACUUUCUGAUGCGAGGCUGAUCUUUGUUGUGAGAAAGUAGAGAUGACAUCGCUCUCGAGCUGCUGGCCUCCGCAUGCAGCUGUAAUGUGAUCCAAA